GGCUCGCAGGCGGUUUCUUAAGUCUGAUGUGAAAGCCCCCGGCUCAACCGGGGAGGGUCAUUGGAAACUGGGAAACUUGAGUGCAGAAGAGGAGAGUGGAAUUCCACGUGUAGCGGUGAAAUGCGUAGAGAUGUGGAGGAACACCAGUGGCGAAGGCGACUCUCUGGUCUGUAACUGACGCUGAGGAGCGAAAGCGUGGGGAGCGAACAGGAUUAGAUACCCUGGUAGUCCACGCCGUAAACGAUGAGUGCUAAGUGUUAGGGGGUUUCCGCCCCUUAGUGCUGCAGCUAACGCAUUAAGCACUCCGCCUGGGGAGUACGGUCGCAAGACUGAAACUCAAAGGAAUUGACGGGGGCCCGCACAAGCGGUGGAGCAUGUGGUUUAAUUCGAAGCAACGCGAAGAACCUUACCAGGUCUUGACAUCCUCUGACAACCCUAGAGAUAGGGCUUUCCCUUCGGGGACAGAGUGACAGGUGGUGCAUGGUUGUCGUCAGCUCGUGUCGUGAGAUGUUGGGUUAAGUCCCGCAACGAGCGCAACCCUUGAUCUUAGUUGCCAGCAUUCAGUUGGGCACUCUAAGGUGACUGCCGGUGACAAACCGGAGGAAGGUGGGGAUGACGUCAAAUCAUCAUGCCCCUUAUGACCUGGGCUACACACGUGCUACAAUGGACAGAACAAAGGGCUGCAAGACCGCAAGGUUUAGCCAAUCCCAUAAAUCUGUUCUCAGUUCGGAUCGCAGUCUGCAACUCGACUGCGUGA
rnacentral:rRNA from 1 species